rnacentral:rRNA from 1 species
AGUGAACGCUGGCGGUAGGCCUAACACAUGCAAGUCGAACGGCAGCACAGGAGAGCUUGCUCUCUGGGUGGCGAGUGGCGGACGGGUGAGGAAUACAUCGGAAUCUACUUUUUCGUGGGGGAUAACGUAGGGAAACUUACGCUAAUACCGCAUACGACCUACGGGUGCAAGCAGGGGAACUUCGGACCUUGCGCGAUUGAAUGAGCCGAUGUCGGAUGAGCUAGUUGGCGGGGUAAAGGCCCACCAAGGCGACGAGCCGUAGCUGGUCUGAGAGGAUGAUCAGCCACACUGGAACGGAGACACGGUCCAGACUCCUACAGGAGGCAGCAGUGGGGAAUAUUGGACAAUGGGCGCAAGCCUGAUCCAGCCAUACCGCGUGGGUGAAGAAGGCCUUCGGGUUGUAAAGCCCUUUUGUUGGGAAAGAAAUCCAGCUGGUUAAUACCCGGUUGGGAUGACGGUACCCAAAGAAUAAGCACCGGCUAACUUCGUGCCAGCAGCCGCGGUAA